rfam:Roseburia sp. 40_7 Ley3_66761_scaffold_12881, whole genome shotgun sequence.
GAUCGACUCUCUGGAGACACCCGCUCAUGCCGGGGACCGAAGGGGCAACAUGCCAUGCGGCAUGAAAUCUCUCAGGUAAAAGGACAGAGAUGGUAUU